rnacentral:rRNA from 1 species
AUAGUUUGAUACUGGCUCAGAAUGAACGCUAGCGGCAGGCCUAACACAUGCAAGUCGGACGGUAACAGGGAUUGCUUGCAAUCCGCUGACGAGUGGCGCACGGGUGCGCAACGCGUAUAGAACCUACCCUGUACAGGGGGAUAGCCCAGAGAAAUUUGGAUUAAUACCCCGUAGUACCUAUUAGAGGCAUUUUUAAUAGGUUAUAGUUUUCGAACGGUAUAGGAUGGCUAUGCGUCUUAUUAGCUAGUAGGUAAGGUAACGGCUUACCUAGGCAACGAUAAGUAGGGGCCCUGAGAGGGGGAUCCCCCACACUGGUACUGAGACACGGACCAGACUCCUACGGGAGGCAGCAGUGAGGAAUAUUGGACAAUGGGCGGAAGCCUGAUCCAGCCAUGCCGCGUGCAGGAAGACGGCCCUAUGGGUUGUAAACUGCUUUUAUACGGGAAGAAUAAGGGAUACGUGUAUCCUGGUGACGGUACCGUAAGAAUAAGGACCGGCUAACUCCGUGCCAGCAGCCGCGGUAAUACGGAGGGUCCGAGCGUUAUCCGGAAUUAUUGGGUUUAAAGGGUCCGCAGGCGGGCAAUUAAGUCAGAGGUGAAAUGGUGCGGCUCAACCGUAGCACUGCCUUUGAUACUGGUUGUCUUGAGUCAUGGUGGAGUGGCCGGAAUAUGUAGUGUAGCGGUGAAAUGCAUAGAUAUUACAUAGAACACCGAUCGCGAAGGCAGGUCACUAACCAUGAACUGACGCUGAUGGACGAAAGCGUGGGGAGCGAAC